GUUGAUGAGCUUGUAAAAGCAUUUACUUUGAAAGUAAAAUAAAGAGACACGACUCUCUAUUAACUUA
rnacentral:tRNA from 1 species